ACGUGAUAAGCUGCGAUAAGCUUCGGGUAGGUGCAAAUAACCCUUGAUCCGAAGAUUUCCGAAUGGGACAACCUAGCCGUCUGAAGGACGGUUACUAGCACUUAAGUGUUAGAGCUAACGUAGGGAACUGAAACAUCUUAGUACCUGCAGGAAGAGAAAAUAAAUGAAUGAUUCCCCCAGUAGUGGCGAGCGAACGGGGAACAGCCCAAACCAGUG
rnacentral:rRNA from 1 species